UGCAAGAAUUGCAAUAGCGAAAACGAAAGAAGAGUAUCGCACGAGAAUAUCACAUUUAAAUUUUGAACGCAAGAUUUGUCAUGACCUAUCAGCUACUCAGCUACAUAGUUUGAAUUUUGGCUGCAAUGAAGAUGAAAUUUGUUACAUAGCAAGAAUUUUGAUUCAAAGAAAAUUUGUUCUGUUUCUUCUUUUGUGUUGAUACAAAUUCUACAUCACAUUGCAGUUUUAUUUUGAGUUUACACACGAUCAUUACAUUUCAUCUUCAUAGUCAUAACUUCUUUGAAACUUGAACAAACCUACUUGAGUAAGUAAACUUGAGUAAACCUACUAUAAAGUAACUUGAGUAAAGUAAAAUAAUUUAAGUAAAACUACUUAAAAAUGAACAAGAAGCUAGAAGAGGAGGAACCACGAACAUCGGAUACAACGAAAGACAUACGAAAAGCGAAACAAGAACGAGGAAAUGCAAAACGAAAGUUUACUAGGAAAAUUUGGGGCUUUCGCGACAUGAUUGAAAAAGAUGGUCCACUAUUGGCGAUCCAAGAAAAAUUUGAAGACAUUAAGGACUCGUACCGUCAACUCGAAAAGUGUAACGACUUUGUCAACGCAGCAAUCAAUGCAACUGGGCCACACCAUUUGAUUGAUAAAUUGUUGGAAGAAAGUGACGAAUAUAUGAUUGAUAUUGAAGCAUACAUGGAUGAAGUAAGAAUGCACUUUGCAACUAAAAAUCAAAAGGAACAUGCUAAAUUGUCAGAAAUAAAAGUCAAACCUCUAAAUGCGCCGCAGUUCUCUGGCAAUAUUCGGCAAUAUUCCAGUUUCAAGCAGGAUUUUGACAGGUUAAUGAAAAAGCAGUUUGGAAAGGACGCGUAUGCCUUACGUCAAUGCUUAACGGACGACGCACUGAAUACGAUCAGAGGAAUAGAAGACGAUUAUGCCGAAAUGUUUCGGCGACUCGACGCGAAGUACGGAGAGCCACGAAAAUUAGUUGAUUCAAUCAUACACGAAAUUAAAGAGUUAAGACCUAUCGCAGAAGGGGACCACGUUAAAUUUAUUCACAUGGUGAAGAUAGUAGAGAAGAACUGGUUGGAGCUGAAGAGAAUGGGAAUGGGAAAUGAGAUGGACACAACAAUGGUAACGAUGAUAGAAAGGCUACUUCCCAAAACGCAAAAGCGGGAAUGGGUCACACUACUGGAUCGGCGAGAACAUGUAGAUACACCAGCCAGUUCGACAUUUCAAAAACUUUUGUCAUAUUUACUCCAGGAAAAAAGAGUAAUAGAAUAUAUGGAAAAUGAUGUACGAAAUCCAGCCGAUUCUAAACCAAAAUUCACCAGCAAAACAGUGCAUAACGUUGAAUUGGAUACAGUGAAGUGUGACAGCGAAACGAACGGCGAAUCCGAGGAAACGAACGAAAUGAAAGCGAACAAUUCUCAGAAUAACAUGAUUCAACUUUGUAAUCAAGUUCAAAACAUGACCGAACGAAUUGAACAUUUAUUUGACGAUCGAACGAAACGAAACAACGGACCCAAUCAAAAGAAACAACUCUCCAGUGCCGACAAUAAUAUUUGUUGGAUACAUAAAACAGACGCACAUCCAAUUUAUAAGUGUAACGAUUUUUUAAAAUCAAAUCAUGAAGAGAAACUUUGUAGUCUAAAACGAAAUGGAGUGUGUUUUAAUUGUUUGAAGCAAAGGCAUAUAGCCAUGGCAUGUCCUUUUGUCAACCAAUGUGACAAACUAAAGCAUCUGCGACAAAAAUGCGGCAAGCGCCAUCAUCCAUAUCUGCAUCUUGACAGAAUUCCGGUCAAUGACUCCACAAAUGCGAUUCACAUGACUAGAAGUAAAACACAAGAGCCAUUGCUUGCAGUUAGCCAUGUCAUCUGCAACGAGAGUAAACUUGCGGUUUUAUGGGAUUCCGGAGCGAAUGUGUCACUCAUUGAUCGGAAAACUGCAGCUACGUUAAAUCUCACUGGUAUGGAUGUUGAAUUAUCUAUCAAGAAAAUUGGAAAUCAAUAUCAAGCAUUGACGACUAAACGAUAUGUCGUUCCUCUAUAUGACGAGGACGGAAAAUAUUGGGAAAUUAAUGCAUAUGGGAUAGAAGAAAUUACAGAAUUAGAGGAAAUCGACAUGAUCAAUAUUGCAAACAUAUUUCGUAUUCAACCAGAAUACAUCAAAAGACCACACGGUAAAGUUGAUCUGCUUGUUGGGACAGACUGCUGCGUCCUACUACCAGAAGUUGUUAAAACGAUAGAAAAGAUCCAAUUACUAAGAAAUCAAUUUGGUUUUUGUGUUCGUGGUUGCGUCCACUCGGAUGCAUUACACACCACGAAGAAGGAUGAUUCGGACACCGUCAAUAAUUUUAGCGAUGUCACUAAAAUGGGAGAAGAACACAGAAAUAAUUAUGUCAAGCAAACGGAAGAUAAAGUAACACGAGGAAUAGCUCCAAAAUCAUCAAAUGAAGAGAUAGAAAAUUCUACGGAUCCCGUACGUUACAUGCAACAUCACGAACUUGUCAGGCCAGACUCUCCAUCGACUCCAAUGCACAUUGUUUUUAAUGGUAUUCAGCUGUUAGCAUUGAUAGCAAUAGCAAUGGUAGCACUGAAAACAAUUGCAGAAACAAACAGGAGCACACAUGGAAAAGCCACUAUUAUAACAAUAAGAUAUAGCUAUGCUGACGAUUUUAUUCAGCCAGUUCCUCAUGAGAAAGAUACUUUUAGUUUGGGCGAAGAUGUGCAAAACAAAUUGAGGAAGCAGUUUGUCAAAGUUACAGGUUACAAGUUACAGGACGAAAGAUUAGCUCGGUGUCCGAAACCGUUGAAUACUGUUGGUGAACCUAUACUGAUUACUUUAUUUGAUGCAAGUAUUCAAGCAUACGAAGCAUGCGUGUAUGUGCAAUUGAAACUGAUUACGGCAUUAGACUGCAGACUGAGAAAAACAAUCCAGCAAGAAAUGAACUUUAUUUACAAAAACUUUCUUGAUGUCGUGAAUUCUGCUAUCAUGAGGGAUCAAAUUCCAAAGGAAUUGUAUGGAUGUGACUUGUUUAUCGCGACCAAAUUUGCAGAAAUUCAAAUUCAUUCGGAACAAAAUGAAUGGUGGCGGAUGGCAGCUACUGACAACCCAGCGGACAUCAGGCUCACCCGACCAUACCAUAUCGGGCCUGGAUCUGUGUGUCAAAGAGGACCAGAUUUUCUGUCACUACCUACCUGUCGAGAAAUGACAUAUCAGUCAGUCCUUACAAGUUCAAGAAAGGGGUUCAGUUCAUAUCUAAGUGCAUAUCAAUUAAGAUGACAAAGUGAGGAACGCUACUCUGCGAUACUGCGAUACAGCACUUUCCCAAAAUGCUACAAAUGCAAGCAAGUAGGUAAAAGCAAGCAAGCACUGGCCAGCCCGACGCCAUAGUCAAACUUCCUAUACAUCGUCUUGUACCAAUACUGGAACUUGGAAGCGCAUGAAAAUGACGAUGUCGAAUGACGAUGACUAUGACGAAUCGUGGGGGGAGUGUAUUGCAAGAAUUGCAAUAGCGAAAACGAAAGAAGAGUAUCGCACGAGAAUAUCACAUUUAAAUUUUGAACGCAAGAUUUGUCAUGACCUAUCAGCUACUCAGCUACAUAGUUUGAAUUUUGGCUGCAAUGAAGAUGAAAUUUGUUACAUAGCAAGAAUUUUGAUUCAAAGAAAAUUUGUUCUGUUUCUUCUUUUGUGUUGAUACAAAUUCUACAUCA
rnacentral:misc_RNA from 1 species